AACGGUCUAUACCUGCGGUACCUGCGGAGGGAUCAUUACCGAGUUAUCAACUCCCAAACCCCUGUGAACAUACCCGAACGUUGCCUCGGCGGGACCGCCCCGGCGCCCCUAGCGGCCCGGAACCAGGCGCCCGCCGGAGGACCCAAACUCUUGCUUUAAACAGUGGCAUACUCUCUGAGUCUCCCAAACAAAAAAUAAAUCAAAACUUUUAACAACGGAUCUCUAGAUCGGAAGAGCACA
rnacentral:misc_RNA from 1 species